rnacentral:rRNA from 1 species
AACGAACGCUGGCGGCAUGCCUAACACAUGCAAGUCGAACGGGAUCCUAGCUUGCUAGGUGAGAGUGGCGGACGGGUGAGUAACACGUGGGAAUCUGCCUUUUGGUUCGGGAUAACCGCGGGAAACUGCGGCUAAUACCGAAUGCCCUCGAGAGAGGAAAGAUUUAUCGCCAGAAGAGGAGCCCGCGUCCGAUUAGGUAGUUGGUGGGGUAAAGGCCUACCAAGCCGACGAUCGGUAGCUGGUCUGAGAGGAUGAUCAGCCACACUGGGACUGAGAUACGGCCCAGACUCCUACGGGAGGCAGCAGUGGGGAAUAUUGGACAAUGGGGGCAACCCUGAUCCAGCAAUGCCGCGUGAGUGAUGAAGGCCUUAGGGUUGUAAAGCUCUUUUGGCGGGGACGAUGAUGACGGUACCCGCAGAAUAAGCCCCGGCUAACUUCGUGCCAGCAGCCGCGGUAAU